UGGGGAAUAUUGCACAAUGGGCGGAAGCCUGAUGCAGCGACGCCGCGUGGGGGAUGAAGGCCUUCGGGUUGUAAACUCCUUUCGACAGGGACGAAGCUUUUGUGACGGUACCUGUAUAAGAAGCACCGGCUAACUACGUGCCAGCAGCCGCGGUAAUACGUAGGGUGCGAGCGUUGUCCGGAAUUACUGGGCGUAAAGAGCUCGUAGGUGGUUUGUCGCGUCGUCUGUGAAAUUCCGGGGCUUAACUCCGGGCGUGCAGGCGAUACGGGCUGACUUGAGUGCUGUAGGGGAGACUGGAAUUCCUGGUGUAGCGGUGAAAUGCGCAGAUAUCAGGAAGGAGGAACACCGAUGGCGAAGGCAGGUCUCUGGGCAGUAACUGACGCUGAGGAGCGAAAGCAUGGGUAGCGAACAGGAUUAGAUACCCUGGUAGUCCAUGCCGUAAACGGUGGGCGCUAGGUGUAGGGGGCUUCCACGUCUUCUGUGCCGUAGCUAACGCAUUAAGCGCCCCGCCUGGGGAGUACGGCCGCAAGGCUA
rnacentral:rRNA from 1 species